rnacentral:rRNA from 1 species
AUGAACGCUGGGGCGUGCCUAAUACAUGCAAGUCGAGCGAACAGACGAGGAGCUUGCUCCUCUGACGUUAGCGGCGGACGGGUGAGUAACACGUGGAUAACCUACCUAUAAGACUGGGAUAACUUCGGGAAACCGGAGCUAAUACCGGAUAAUAUAUUGAACCGCAUGGUUCAAUAGUGAAAGACGGUUUUGCUGUCACUUAUAGAUGGAUCCGCGCCGCAUUAGCUAGUUGGUAAGGUAACGGCUUACCAAGGCAACGAUGCGUAGCCGACCUGAGAGGGUGAUCGGCCACACUGGAACUGAGACACGGUCCAGACUCCUACGGGAGGCAGCAGUAGGGAAUCUUCCGCAAAGGGCGAAAGCCUGACGGAGCAACGCCGCGUGAGUGAUGAAGGUCUUCGGAUCGUAAAACUCUGUUAUUAGGGAAGAACAAAUGUGUAAGUAACUAUGCACGUCUUGACGGUACCUAAUCAGAAAGCCACGGCUAACUACGUG